ACGUGUCAUUUUUUUAAAAAAAAACCUUGACCCCAGAGAACUUUCAGAACUGCCACAAAUACAAAGUUUCUCUGGCCACACGGACAGAGUCUCCUUUUGUAUUUGCUCAGCGUACCAACAAUAACAUCAGGAUUACAACAACAACCUACAUUUAUCAAUCUACAAGCAAUUCAUGCAAUAUAUGCAUAUCCAUACAGCUAGCGAUUCUUAGAGAUAAUGCAUGCCUCUAAACACUCCUUAGGCUCUGGAUGAUACGAUGCACAAUACAACAGUCAUCCUAUUUAAAAGUAUUCCCCACCCGGAAGCUUUGUUUUUAAACUAUAUUCCAUCAUUGAUAAAAACUAUUCAAAAAUCUUUUUAAAACUGUUUCCCACUCGGAAACUCCAUUUUAAAAACCGACUACCUCGAGGGGUAGAAAACCACAACGCAUAAGUCCAAAUACCAAAGAUCCUUAAAUCUCUAAUUAUUCAAAAGAUCCUUAAAUCUCUAAUUAUUCAAUAAAUUUCGUUUGCAUGCAUAAUAGGAAAUCACCAACUCAAACAGUUCACAAAUGCACAAGCAUUCAUAGUGAUCAUCUAACUGAACCAUUUAAUUAUUUAAACUACUAAAAGCGAAAAUGAAAUAUAACC
rnacentral:lncRNA from 1 species